UCUUGAAAGAUAGAAGCACGCAGUCUGUCGUAACAGAAGGUGAUCACCUAGAGGUUGUCGGCUUUCAUGUCAUCAAUUUUUAUAUAUAUUCAUUUUCAAUGAACUUUUUAAAUAUUAUAAUUACUGUUGCUCUUCGAUAUCUUUGUAAACGUACUGUAUUGAAAAGGUGCAUGUUGUAAGCAGUAUUUCCAUACUAGCUUUUUGUACCGUCCAUUUCAAUCUUCUUUCAACAGUACGUUGUUUAUCUUUAUACUUAAAUUACAUUCUUUUUAUUAAUAUAUUUCAUAAUUAUUGUUGAUCUUCGAUAUCUUUGUAAACGUACUGCAUUGAAAAGGUGCAUGUUGUAAGCAGUAUUUCCAUACUAGCUUUUUGUACCGUCCAUUUCAAUCUUCUUUCAACAGUACGUUGUUUAUCUUUAUACUUAAAUUACAUUCUUUUUAUUAAUAUAUUUCAUAAUUACUGUUGCUCUUCGAUAUCUUUGUAAACGUACUGUAUUGAAAAGGUGCAUGUUGUAAGCAGUAUUUCCAUACUAGCUUUUUGCACCGUCCAUUUCAAUCUUCUUUCAACAGUACGUUGUUUAUCUUUAUACUUAAAUUACAUUCUUUUAAUUAAUAUAUUUCAUAAUUAAUGUUGGUCUUCUAUGUUUGUAAACGUACUGUAUUGAAAAGGUGCAUGUUGUAAGCAGUAUUUCCAUACUAGCUUUUUGCACCGUCCAUUUCAAUCUUCUUUCAACAGUACGUUGUUUAUCUUUAUACUUAAAUUACAUUCUUUUUAUUAAUAUAUUUCAUAAUUAUUGUUGAUCUUCGAUAUCUUUGUAAACGUACUGUAUUGAAAAGGUGCAUGUUGUAAGCAGUAUUUCCAUACUAGCUUUUUGUACCGUCCAUUUCAAUCUUCUUUCAACAGUACCGUUGUUUAUCUUUAUACUUAAAUUACAUUAUUUUAAUUAAUAUAUUUCAUAAUUAAUGUUGGUCUUCUAUGUUUGUAAACGUACUGUAUUGAAAAGGUGCAUGUUGUAAGCAGUAUUUCCAUACUAGCUUUUUGCACCGUCCAUUUCAAUCUUCUUUGAACAGUACGUUGUUUAUCUUUAUACUUAAAUUACAUUCUUUUAAUUAAUAUAUUUCAUAAUUAAUGUUGGUCUUCUAUGUUUGUAAACGUACUGCAUUGAAAGGGUGCAUGUUGUAAGCAGUAUUUCCAUACUAGCUUUUUGUACCGUCCAUUUCAAUCUUCUUUGAACAGUACGUUGUUUAUCUUUAUAUUCAUAAUUAUUGUUGUGUUUGUAUUUAAAUCCCAUACUUUCGCAAAGAAGUAUGCAAUACUUCCUGCCCAAGGGAACCGUCAUUACUAGCUACUAUCAACAACCUAUACCAAGAGUGCACAGUUUAAAGAAUCAGUUUGAUCCUGGAAGACAUUGACACCUCACUUGAUAAAUACUCUUUCAAGAACUUCAAGAGGUUGCAGAUGGACAUUCGAAUGUGAAUUUAUACAUUUAUUGGAUCUAACCAGGAACAAUUGCGAACAUCGUCCCUCUGGGACUAACAGUUUUAUACUUGUUUAAUUUAACAUUUUAUUGCUGCCUGACAAGAACUUAAUAUGUAUGAAACUUCUUGUAUGAAUUUAUUCAUGCACUCUACAUAAAUUGCCUUCAAAGACAUGCUACUAGAAUUGGGUGCCUCUUUUUAAACUUUUGCUGCAGAAGACUUUCUUUAUUAAAACACUUCAGUUGAUUAUUUGUAUAUAUUGACGAACUUUUUAAUUCAAUCAUUUCUGUUAAUCAUAAACGUAGAAAACUUUGUAACUGGUUAUAAUUGGGAUUU